rnacentral:misc_RNA from 1 species
AAACAAUAGAAUUCAUUUUCUGUAAACCCAAUCUGCGUACUUGUACCUGUUGCUUCCGCGAGCCGGUAAGAGCAUUGCGUUUCCUUUCGAGGAGAUGUGCUCUUGCCCACUGGCGUCUUUCCACGGAUUGACGUUGCCGGUGAGUGCUUGCGGGAGGUCUUCAUAAACUCUGUUUUUUUCGAACUCAGUCUGAAUAUUGUUUAUAAUUAAACUUU